rnacentral:rRNA from 1 species
UGGGGAAUAUUGGACAAUGGGCGAAAGCCUGAUCCAGCCAUGCCGCGUGUGUGAAGAAGGUCUUCGGAUUGUAAAGCACUUUAAGUUGGGAGGAAGGGCAGUAAGCGAAUACCUUGCUGUUUUGACGUUACCGACAGAAUAAGCACCGGCUAACUCUGUGCCAGCAGCCGCGGUAAUACAGAGGGUGCAAGCGUUAAUCGGAAUUACUGGGCGUAAAGCGCGCGUAGGUGGUUCGUUAAGUUGAAUGUGAAAGCCCCGGGCUCAACCUGGGAACUGCAUCCAAAACUGGCGAGCUAGAGUAGGGCAGAGGGUGGUGGAAUUUCCUGUGUAGCGGUGAAAUGCGUAGAUAUAGGAAGGAACACCAGUGGCGAAGGCGACCACCUGGGCUCAUCCUGACACUGAGGUGCGAAAGCGUGGGGAGCAAACAGG